rnacentral:tRNA from 1 species
UCCCUGAUGGUCCCGUGGUUAGGAUUCGGCGCUCAAACCGCCGCGGCCCCGGUUUGAUUCCCGGUCAGGGAA